AUGAAGUGUGGAAGCCAAUUCUUAUCAUGGUGCUCUGCCAGGCAAAUUCAGUCACGAGAUGCAUCAUGGCGGAACUUUUCUUGGGUAUGGCUCAAACAGAAGCUGGCAUUUAGACCAAAAAAAGUUGAUUGCUUUCAUGAAAAACUGGGUAUGGUUCUCGGCAGAUGCUCUUCCAUGUUUUCGAGCUCAGAGUGGGAAGAAGGCAGGUUUUGGUUGGCCGUAGCUCCUUUGGCUAUUCUGGUGCUGGAGCAAGGAAAGUUAACUGCAGAUCAAGCGGCGAAAGGGCUGGCGGCAACUUAUCCAUGGAAAUGGGAUUGGCACGUGAUGGUUUGUUUUCCUUCGGCUGCCAGGGUCGAAUAA
rnacentral:rRNA from 1 species